rnacentral:rRNA from 1 species
GACGAACGCUGGCGGCGUGCUUAACACAUGCAAGUCGAACGGAAAGGCCCUGCUUUUGUGGGGUGCUCGAGUGGCGAACGGGUGAGUAACAGGUGUGUAACGUGCCCUUGUCUUUGGGAUGACUUCAGGAAACUGGGGCUAAUACCAGAUAGGAGACGAUGCUGCAUGGAGGGGGUUGGAACGUUUCGGCGGUUGGGGAUGGACUGGCGGGUUAUCAGCUUGUUGGUGGGGUAGUGGAUUGCCAAGGCAUUGACGGGUAGCCGGCAUGGGAGGGUGACCGGCCACAUUGGGACUGCGAUACGGCCCAGUCUCCUACGGGAGGCAACAGUGGGGAAUAUUGCACAAUGGGAGGAAGCGUGAUGCAGCAACGCCGCGUGCGGGAUGACGGCCUGCUGGUUGUAAACCGCUUCCGCCUGUGACGAAGCGUGAGUGACGGUAAUGGGUAAAGAAGCACCGGCUAACUACGUG